rnacentral:rRNA from 2 species
GAAUGCUGACAUAAGUAACGAUAAUGCGGGUGAAAAACCCGCACGCCGGAAGACCAAGGGUUCCUGUCCAACGUUAAUCGGGGCAGGGUGAGUCGACCCCUAAGGCGAGGCUGAAAAGCGUAGUCGAUGGGCAACGGGUUAAUAUUCCCGUACUGGUGGUAACUGCGAAGGGGGGACGGAGAAAGCUAAAUCAUCCGGGCGACGGUUGUCCCGGUUUAAGCGUGCAGGUGGACUGACCAGGCAAAUCCGGUCGGUUGUUAACACUGAGGCGUGACGACGAGCCACUACGGUGGUGAAGUGAUUGAUGCUCUGCUUCCGGGAAAAGCCUCUAAGCUCCAGGUUACCAUUAAUCGUACCCCAAACCGACACAGGUGGUCAGGUAGAGAAUACUCAGGCGCUUGAGAGAACUCGGGUGAAGGAACUAGGCAAAAUGGUGCCGUAACU